rfam:Citrus sinensis cultivar Ridge Pineapple sweet orange scaffold00001_contig_245, whole genome shotgun sequence.
AGAAGCAAGAGACAAAAGACGGGGAACAGGCAGAGCAUGGAUGGAACCAUUAACAGGUUCUCUGUUUUGGCUCCUCCCAUGCACUGCCUCUUCCCUGGCUCUCUGCCUUCCUCGUCUU